AUAUCGGAACGUACCCUGGAGUGGGGGAUAACGUAGCGAAAGUUACGCUAAUACCGCAUACGAUCUAAGGAUGAAAGUGGGGGAUUCGCAAGAACCUCAUGCUCCUGGAGCGGCCGAUAUCUGAUUAGCUAGUUGGUGGGGUAAAGGCCUACCAAGGCAUCGAUCAGUAGCUGGUCUGAGAGGACGACCAGCCACACUGGAACUGAGACACGGUCCAGACUCCUACGGGAGGCAGCAGUGGGGAAUUUUGGACAAUGGGCGCAAGCCUGAUCCAGCAAUGCCGCGUGAGUGAAGAAGGCCUUCGGGUUGUAAAGCUCUUUUGUC
rnacentral:rRNA from 1 species